GUUCUUCUGCGGCGUUGGUGACUGCCAACAAUGUUUUAUGAUCUAUACUUUUUGAAGCACGGGAGCCUACAGGUCGAGUAGCAGUAGACCGAGCAUGUACUCGGAAACUUUAAACUCGAUCAAUGAUUCCCACCUGGUUUUAACCAGGUCAAAAACUGAGGUAAGACGGCGUUGUGGGGAACUC
rnacentral:other from 1 species